UAAGGAAUAUUGGUCAAUGGGCGCAAGCCUGAACCAGCCAUGCCGCGUGCAGGAUGACGGCCCUAUGGGUUGUAAACUGCUUUUGUACGGGAAAAAACCCUCCGACGUGUCGGGGGCUGAUGGUACCGUAAGAAUAAGGAUCGGCUAACUCCGUGCCAGCAGCCGCGGUAAUACGGAGGAUCCUAGCGUUAUCCGGAUUUAUUGGGUUUAAAGGGUGCGCAGGCGGAAUUAUAAGUCAGUGGUGAAAUCCUACAGCUUAACUGUAGAACUGCCAUUGAUACUGUUAUUCUUGAGUAUAUUUGAAGUGGGCGGAAUGUGUCAUGUAGCGGUGAAAUGCUUAGAUAUGACACAGAACACCAAUUGCGAAGGCAGCUCACUAAGCUAUAACUGACGCUCAUGCACGAAAGCGUGGGGAUCAAACAGG
rnacentral:rRNA from 1 species